GAGCCAAAGCAAAACAAGCAGCUGAGGCCGGGAAGCAGGAGGGAGCCGUGUGGGCAGGAAUAGCAGCGGCCCCACACGAGCAGCCGCACGCUGGGAGCUGUAGGGCAGCGUGGGCCCUGUUCCUGCCGCUGGCCCCACUGCUGUGCCCAGGGCACACAGCUCCAGGAUGUGGCGCUGAAGGGUUCCUGUGCUAGCACGAGCCUUUUGUUGGUCGUGGUUCAAAGGCUUUGGACUUCAUGUUUCAUUCUUCCGUGUUCUGACAUGACAAAGGACUAUUUUAAUAGCUGGGUAUUAAAUCUAUUCAGGGGCAGAAAAUGAAGGACUGCGUUAGCCUGCAGCACUCGGGAGCUGCGUGUUAGCAGCAGCCCGUUCUGCUGGUGUGCAGCAGGAGCCUCAGCCUCACCGGGGUCAGCGUGCAGCAUUCCCCUCCCCAGCAGCGUUCCCCGUUGGGCGUGCAGCAGUGCCCUCCUGCCUCCAUCGCUCCCUGCUGCUGCGCCCAGGGACACCCGGAGACCCCUGACUUAGGACACUUCCACCUUUUACUCUGAAGCCAACGUCAGUGCAGCUCUCCAGCUCCUGGCAAGUGGGCACCUCGUGCCGGGCUGUGAGGAACGGGCUGACGACACCGAGCAGAGUCACAUUUCUGCAGCACUUCCCCUGCCCGCAGCACAGCUCUGCGCCCCAGCUGACCGGGGCGGCGGUGCAGGGCAGCGGGAGCAACCCGGUGCUGAAAGCUGACAGCUCAGACUUCAGGUCUGGCCACGGAGAGGAACGAGGCUCAUCAAAUUGAGCCUGGGAAAGCUUCCAAAACCUUGUCUUCACGAGGCAACAGUGCGCAGGUUUGCAUAAAUAUCUAUGAAAUUCAUCAAACAGCCCAAAUGAAAUACACUAAGGAAGGAACUUCUGCUGCAUUUAAAUCCGCUCACAGUCGCUUCCCUGUCUUUGAAAUCCAGCGAUGCCCGCCCCCCACCAGCCUGGGAGCAAGAGUCCUGUUCUCAGGAAAGAAAGCUCCCAUUUUCCAGGAGCAGGUCUGGAAGUCGUCUCGUUUGUGCCCUGGGUGCGUGCCUGGCACUGGGAGCUCGGCGCUGGAGCAGAGCCCGAUCCAUGAGCAUUCAGCUGCAGAAGAAAGAGGGAAAUCUCCACAGGAGCAUGAGACAGAGCACAUAAAAGCAGAGCGGGUGAACAGGAAAGCAUUGUCUUUUAAUUGA
rnacentral:lncRNA from 1 species